GAGGUGGGGCAAUGGGUCCGCGCGCCUGGCUGCUAACCAGAAGGCUGUUGGUUCAAGCCCACCCAGGGAUG